rnacentral:sRNA from 1 species
CCUUAAAUAUGAACAAGUGACGCAGUAUCCUAGUCAGGAACCCUUUUUUGAAGGCGGGCCUAAAAAUCCGUCAAGGGCACAUCAAUGAAGUUCCUGGUGCUGGCUGCUGACGCCCAGUCGGGGGUCGGUACUGGGAGUUAAGGGGGCGGGGCGACCCGCAAGGGCAUGUGGGCGUUGACCCUGCCCCCGUGGAGACCCAAGUGCGUGGUGUCUGUUAACGGCAGUCAUUAUGGCUUGGGAAUAAACCUGUACGUGGGGAAAGCUGCGUGCAGUGUAGCCUGCCUUGAGUGGUGCCGGUGGAGGCCGAUGAUGCGUACACUGAUGUAUGGGCCCAUACUCAGUGUACGUAGGUUUAAACCGUCAUUGCAAAAGAGGCUAGGAAAAGGUACUCCUGUCAGAGGAAAACUCCUAGGCUGUCCGGAAUUACGGGACAAUGCGGGGAUUGCAGUGUGGACUAAGUGGUAAUCCAGCCCCGGACACGGCAACAUUCCGGAUUUUCGUUUAAAGGGAAACCGCCGGUAUGGCGACAGCCGGUACGAAAUUGGGAAAACCUGCUGGACCUAAGCCACAACGUUUACCCGCAUUGUUGUCACUUGUUCGGUAUAUAUA